CGCCGGUCCCCUCGCAUCGCUAGAUCGUGAACCCCGUCAGGCCCGGGAGGGAGCAGCGGUAGCGGUUGAUGCGGGUGCCGGGGUGUGGCUGGUGCGG
rnacentral:SRP_RNA from 1 species